AAGGAGCUUGCUCCUUGGGUGACGAGCGGCGGACGGGUGAGUAAUGUCUGGGAAACUGCCUGAUGGAGGGGGAUAACUACUGGAAACGGUAGCUAAUACCGCAUAACGUCGCAAGACCAAAGAGGGGGACCUUCGGGCCUCUUGCCAUCGGAUGUGCCCAGAUGGGAUUAGCUAGUAGGUGAGGUAAAGGCUCACCUAGGCGACGAUCCCUAGCUGGUCUGAGAGGAUGACCAGCCACACUGGAACUGAGACACGGUCCAGACUCCUACGGGAGGCAGCAGUGGGGAAUAUUGCACAAUGGGCGCAAGCCUGAUGCAGCCAUGCCGCGUGUGUGAAGAAGGCCUUCGGGUUGUAAAGCACUUUCAGCGGGGAGGAAGGGAGCAGGCUUAAUACGUCUGUUCAUUGACGUUACCCGCAGAAGAAGCACCGGCUAACUCCGUGCCAGCAGCCGCGGUAAUACGGAGGGUGCAAGCGUUAAUCGGAAUGACUGGGCGUAAAGCGCACGCAGGCGGUCUGUUAAGUUGGAUGUGAAAUCCCCGGGCUUAACCUGGGAACUGCAUUCAAAACUGACAGGCUAGAGUCUCGUAGAGGGGGGUAGAAUUCCAGGUGUAGCGGUGAAAUGCGUAGAGAUCUGGAGGAAUACCGGUGGCGAAGGCGGCCCCCUGGACGAAGACUGACGCUCAGGUGCGAAAGCGUGGGGAGCAAACAGGAUUAGAUACCCUGGUAGUCCACGCUGUAAACGAUGUCGAUUUGGAGGUUGUGGUCUUGAACCGUGGCUUCCGGAGCUAACGCGUUAAAUCGACCGCCUGGGGAGUACGGCCGCAAGGUUAAAACUCAAAUGAAUUGACGGGGGCCCGCACAAGCGGUGGAGCAUGUGGUUUAAUUCGAUGCAACGCGAAGAACCUUACCUACUCUUGACAUCCAGAGAAGACUGCAGAGAUGCGGUUGUGCCUUCGGGAGCUCUGAGACAGGUGCUGCAUGGCUGUCGUCAGCUCGUGUUGUGAAAUGUUGGGUUAAGUCCCGCAACGAGCGCAACCCUUAUCCUUUGUUGCCAGCACUUCGGGUGGGAACUCAAGGGAGACUGCCGGUGAUAAACCGGAGGAAGGUGGGGAUGACGUCAAGUCAUCAUGGCCCUUACGAGUAGGGCUACACACGUGCUACAAUGGCGUAUACAAAGAGAAGCGACCUCGCGAGAGCAAGCGGACCUCAUAAAGUACGUCGUAGUCCGGAUUGGAGUCUGCAACUCGACUCCAUGAAGUCGGAAUCGCUAGUAAUCGUAGAUCAGAAUGCUACGGUGAAUACGUUCCCGGGCCUUGUACACACCGCCCGUCACACCAUGGGAGUGGGUUGCAAAAGAAGUAGGUAGCUUAACCUUCGGGAGGGCGCUUACCACUUUGUGAUUCAUGACUGGGGUGAAGUCGUAACAAGGUAACCGUAGGGGAACCUGCGGUUG
rnacentral:rRNA from 1 species